GUGGGCUCACUGCACCUGGAUGCCGCCCCCAGGCAGGUACUUUUUCUGUCGGCCAGAGAAUCAGUUCAGGGAGCUGCGGCAGCUGUCACUUGCCAGGGGGAAAUGCCUCUUCCAGGGAGACAAGAGU
ensembl:snoRNA